UAGGGAAUCUUCCGCAAUGGACGCAAGUCUGACGGAGCAACGCCGCGUGAGUGAAGAAGGAUUUCGGUUCGUAAAACUCUGUUGUUAGAGAAGAACAGCGCAUAGAGUAACUGUUAUGCGUGUGACGGUAUCUAACCAGAAAGCCACGGCUAACUACGUGCCAGCAGCCGCGGUAAUACGUAGGUGGCAAGCGUUGUCCGGAUUUAUUGGGCGUAAAGCGAGCGCAGGCGGUCAAUUAAGUCUGAUGUGAAAGCCCCCGGCUCAACCGGGGAGGGUCAUUGGAAACUGGUUGACUUGAGUGCAGAAGAGGGGAGUGGAAUUCCAUGUGUAGCGGUGAAAUGCGUAGAUAUAUGGAGGAACACCAGUGGCGAAGGCGACUCUCUGAUCUGUAACUGACGCUGAGGCUCGAAAGCGUGGGUAGCAAACAGG
rnacentral:rRNA from 1 species